GGAGGUGUCCGAGCGCCUGGUGGGCUUCCCGGUCUUCAAAACCGGUGAGGGGCCACGCGGUCCCUGGCGGGUUCGAUUCCCGUCCACCUCCG
rnacentral:tRNA from 1 species